CUCAAAGUUGCAUAAACUCCUUAUUUUUACUUUUCCAAAUCCAGUAGGAGUUUCUCUGCCAGUUAUAGGGAAAUAUAUAGAAGGCGGACAUAUCAGGUGCUUCUCUUCCAAAUAAGCUUUCCUUGUGGCUUACGCUGUUCUUCACUUGGAUUUGAACCCGAUCAGCGGCUUUCCUUUCACCAAAGGAUCUUAUUUUUGUAAUUUGUCGGACUUUGCAAGAAUUGUGAUAUUCUCAGCCAGCCCUUUCUUCAUAAGGCAAGUGUGCCACUGUUCAGCGUGUAUUUAUUCCAUUAGCCAAGUUAUUGCACUGAGUUGAGCAUUAAAGAAAUCUGAUCGUUUCCUUGGUCUCUAUUUUGGAAGAUGCUGGAGAUUUAUCCUUGGCGACAUGUAAACAAUAUUUAAACAAGGCUAACAAAGAGAAAGUGUUGAGAUAGGAAGGUAAAACUGCAAAUGUUUUGUUUCAAGUGACAUCAAGAUGCAAUAGAGGAGAUGAAAGAGAGGACAUUAUAAAACGGGUCAGUCUCUAGAGUUAAAACAACACAGAAAACAGCACAUGAAAUACAUGUGUAUAGAACGGUGUGAGAUUGACAGAAAGGAAGGAAAUACACCAAUGACAUUGAAUGCAUGGGUGGAGACACAGCUUCUUCAACCAAUGAAAGAAAUAAUAUCUGGCUUCUUGAAUAGUUUCAUGGUGCCACCAACAAAAACUAUCAUAGACCAACAAUGGCAAGAUGGCAUCGGCAAGAAUGAGCUGGAAGAUACACCAGAGAGCUUGCUCCCUGUCUCCACUGUUGUGAGGACUUAGUGAGAAGGCAGUGGUCUACAAGCCAGGAAGUGGACCUUCACCAGAACCCGAACAUGCUGGCACCCUGAUCUCAGACUUCCAGCCUCCAGAACUAUGAAAAAUAAAUUUGUGUUGUUUGAGCCUCCCAGUCUAUGGUAUUUUGUUAUGGCAUCCCAAACUGAAUAAUAACACCUUCUAAAAUUUUGGGGGUAAUUUUUCACACAUUUCCAAAUUAAUAUUCAAAAUUUUCUAUCAUAAGUUUAAAUAGUUGCAAAGACUGUAAUUUCCAACAUUCUGUAAGAGUUGAUAUUAAAAAUCAAAAUAAAAC
rnacentral:lncRNA from 1 species